UAUCUUUUGUCUGACAGUUGCAUAGGCUGCAGCUCUUCCUCCUCUCUCCCAAGGUUAUUCUCACAGCCCAUUACAGGGAACAAGCAGGGCUUAGAGGUUCAAUCAACUACAUCCUUUAUGGUCAGGAAAAUUGUCUUAAAUAAAGGCUGUUUUUGCACUGAGUUGAAAAAUAAACCCCUGCAGUUAGUUGAAGGGUAAUUUACAGACUUGUUCCCAUAGAAAGUAUGUGUAUAGUUCCUGGAAUAAAACUGAAGGGCAACAGGCAGAGGGAGAUACAAGACCUGGGAGGGACAGGUCCAAGGAAUACUCUUAAAUCAUCAACCUAGCAAGAGGGAGGGCACAUUUUUCCUGCUUGUUUCCACAAAUAUUUUAGGAUCAAGAUACAAGCAUGAGCAACACCAUACUACCAUCACUGCUCUAAACUGGAGCAUCUCUUUCCAUAUGACAGCCUGAACUGAUAGACUAAUAACAUACUAAUUGCCAAUCCUUUACACCUAGUUGUUGUUGACAUGUAGAAGGAUAAGAUAAGACAGGUUUGCUAUAGACUAUCCAUCUGCCAAUCAGCUCUCCCAAAAUAUUACAUUGCCCACUCACAUGGUCAUAAUCUCAAAAUACAGUGAAGAGAGUCAGUUCAUUCUUAUCACCACAGGACAGGCGCCCCCAAAGUAUGCUACAGUGGAAGCCUCUUCAUUUAGGCCCAUGCCUCACCUGGGGAAACCAGCAGGUUGGUGUCUUGAAGGGGCAGCCAGUAUAUGAAGAAUAAUCCUCAACCACUGAGCCUAACUGGGGUAAAAGUCAUAGGCAUGCAGAGAAAAAUGCAGUGAUGACUUCCGGGUGGAAAUAUGGCAGACUAGCACAUCUCCAUGAAACAGCAGGGAUGACACAGAGGCAAAAAACGAGAGCCGGGUUAUAUGUCUGAGCUAACAGAGCUUCUCCAGACAAGCAGAAGCCAUGAGACCCUGAGGGUGACCUGCAAGUAGAGCGCCAAGAGCCACAGAAGAAGACACCAUGCUCACAGCCUUGCACAAAGCCUUUUUAAAGGACACUGGGUCUGACCAAUCCACUUUCUAAAGCAUGUUUAAGUGGAGCAAAUUUAAAGCGUAAAGAGACCUUCAGAGCAGCAGAGCACCUA